rnacentral:antisense_RNA from 1 species
GCACUGCGGGUGCCCUCUGGCCCCCACCCCAUCAUCGCGCAACACACCCCCUUCAACAUGCGCGCCCACCCUUUCAUUGCCCUGCGCCCCGAGCGGUCCCACCGCCCGGCAAAACACUGAGCAAGCCGCUGCGCUCACCUUGCUUGACACACUUGAGCCGGAGGGGGUCCUUGCAGUGUUUGAUCACGACCAGCACGUCCCUGAUGGUGAGCCCCGCCACGGGGGUCUCGUUCACCUCCAGCAGCAGCUCCUCCGACACCAACUUGCUGCCGCUCUCAUAGGCCACCUUGCCGGGCUUCACCUCCCCCAGUAAUGUCUUACAAUAACAGAAUGCAGGAGAGCACAUAUCAAUGAAGAAAAGACAAAAUGUACUUAUCCAUGAAGCUGAGGUUAAGAAACCAGUGUCUUCAAGAGCCAGGGACAGCACUGGGUCUGUGCAGAGUUGAGAGAUGGUGAUGACAUGUGGUUUCCAGCAUUCCUCGCCCAGUCCAGGGACACUGUGGGUGUGCCCAGCUUAAGUCCAGUCCAGUAACUGGAAAUACAAGCCCAAGUUCUGGAGAGUUUGAGCUGCAGAGAUAUAUAUGGGAACACUUUGAACCUUGACUCAUUGGCCAUAACCAGUAGAGUGGAAAAUACAAG